GGAACCAACAUAUCUUUAAUGCACGAUUUUUUGCCUUCAUCAUACGACUUUAACACUUAUUUACACAUGUUUGAAAAUGAAGUUUCAAUGCCGCGAGGCCCUGGCCCACGUAUUCACUUCAAGUCCUCAUAUGUUAUUUUUACGCAUUACCACGUGUUUCAUUUGAAUGCAGCGACCUUAAAAAUCACUAGCUGAUAAGUUUUAUGAAAAUCGUACUAGCAGAAAUAUUUUCUUUUUCUUUCUUCUCCGCUCGCAUACUCGGAGAAAGAAGAAUAGGGAAAAAAUACUAUAGUUCUAGUGGAAAUGGCUAAGAAUAAUUAGAAUAAGAAACAGGAGAACUCUGAUUAUUAAAUUAAAAAUUUCCUUAAGCGUUAUAACAAUCCCACCCUGUGCAUAUUUAUAUUUCAAAAAUCGUUCUCAAGUCUAAUUUUUUUCCAGCUAUAUAUAUUUUCUAGCUUAAAAUUAAGAUGCAGAUAGGGAACAGUGCGCAAAAUUCGAAUAUAAUUUUCAAAAUUCAAAAUGACGAACUCCAGCUAAACAUUGAUCGUAUUUUCGUAAAAACAUACGCACUGAGGGUUUUGGUACGUUGUAUUCGAAUACAAUGAUCAAAGUGUGGAAUUUUUCAUUUCAAUGUUUUCCCAGACAGAAUCUGUCUUUUGGAAUUUUCCAUGUUGAUCGUUAAAUUUCAAUUUAGCCCAAUUAAAAACAUAAAAUAUGUUCAUUUUAAUAUAAAUCGGAUAACUUUUCAUUUAAAUGAUCGUCAUAUUUGAUCUGCCAUUUUGAAUUCGUAAGUGUCAUUGCAAAUUCUAAAUUAGAAAUCUAAAACAUCAUGUGGCCAAUUUUGAAACUAAUUCGACGACCGAGACUCUGGUACCUGAAGAAAUUUUUGCACCUGCAUUUUGAAUCCAAUAUCUUAUGAGUGGCUAUAAAUAAGAAAACCGUAUUGAUAUAUUUAUAGAAUUUGAAUACUCUCAAUCGAUUGAAAUCAAAAUAAAAAAGAUUGAUCCAAGAAAUUAAGACCUAUCGAGAGAUCGAACGAGAUGCUUCACUUUCAGUUCCAUCGUCGUCGUCAUUGUCUUCGCGCGUCCAUUACUUUUUUAGGCCACGGAUGGCGCUGAUUACACGUCUCUCUCGAAAGCACUUGAAUGUAGAAGAUAUAGUAUAGCAUCUUUCGAUGAAACAGUAUAUACGCCCUGGUCCAUUCCCGGGUAGAAAUUUAAUAGAGCAUUUCUCAUAUGCGCUCGUUCCUAGGUGAGGACGGAGAUCUUCCAGAAGUGUGAUGCUAUACCAUUAUUUCUUAGACAUUGAUCGGGUAUCAAUCCAGAAAUUAUAGAUACGGUCUAAACAUAUCCUGCCCUAGUAUAGCCCAAUCGGGAAAUCCCUCUCAAGAAUAUUAUUAACUAAUAUGUUCCUGAUUAAGUUUUAAUACGAUAUCCAUAUUUGCGUAGAUGGCGCACUAAUCAUCCUACGUUUCUAGCUUUACAGUAUAUGAUGCACUAAAUUACAGUCAGAUGGCACUGUAAAGUCAACUAUGUACUUUUUGCGAAUGUCAACCAUUAGUCGUGGAAGAUGGACUAAGAAAAGGCAAUAAGUAAAACGCAAACUCGAGUGCGAAAAUACAAAAAAUUUAAAAACUAUAUUACGCAAAGCAGAUAGAUUGUAAUUAUAAAUGUAAGGCCUAUGAAACUCCUGGGCAGGUAAAAACAUGCAAUUCAUGUUUGAAAUGAAGUAAGAUAAUUGCCAAUCAAGUACAAUAUUGUUCAUGCCAUUGAAACUAAUGCAGCCAAGUAUGAAAUUCAGGAAACGUAUAACGGUAUUAGCCAAUAGAGAAGAAAUAAAGACUAAUUGAUUAAGGCCACGAUAAUGUUAUCAGAUCAGGGCCGAUAGUUUGUCUAAUCUGGCGGUCACGUAAAAUGCGGUAAAAGUUAGAUGGGACGCUAGUCUACAUCCGAAAUCGGGUCCAAAAUUCUAUCCUAUUUAUAUUUCUACCUGGGCUAGACAUCGACCUCCUAGAGACCCCCCUUAGUUAAGAGUAUAAAAAAAAAUGUUCAAGAAAGAAUUUAAAUGGUUUGAACAAAUUUUUUAAAGUCAGAUUUACACUUCGAAACUAAUCAAAUGAUGUCCAAUAUUUUUUUCCAUCUUUACCACCAUGGGAGGUAUUUAGAAGUUUAGUUUCUAGUUGACCACUCUGUAUAUGUGUAUAUAACAUUGCUGUCGAUUUCGUCAGCUGCUACAAGAUGAGCUGAUGCAACGCCUGUCAACAAUUAAAUAGUAACGGACAAAACUGUUUGAUAUUAAAAGUGUACAAAGUACGUUGGAUAAAAAGACCAGCGAGAUCCAUUAUUUAUGACUUUUUUUUAACAAACAAUGCUAUAUCAAUACAUAUGUCAUUGUGCAAUGCAGAAGAGGUUAAUGGAAUAAUUUUCGCUUUCAAGGAUGCGAAUUUCACCAACACAUUGUCACUUUGUGAUACGAGAUAAAUGUAUGCUGUUUUGACACCAAACUCUGGAUAAAGAAACUACCUUGAAUGUUAAAAGUAUUAUUUUAUUUAACAUGAUUAAAACUGAAACUUCGAUUUUCGAUAAGUUCCAGACCUUUAACUAUGCCUCCAAAAUGCAGUUCCUCGUUGAGUAAACACCAUUCUGUAUCAAUAAUUUCAUUUGAUAUCACUAGUUCAAGGAGUAUUACUAAAUCCAUCAAUUCCUAGUGCCCAAACUGUGAGUAUCAUAAAGCAGCACUAACGCGAAUUGCUAGGCACCCGGAAACUGUGAUGGAUUAAAUAAUGAUUACGUUAGAUUAAAAUAGGUUAGAGUAUGCUAAAUUUCCCAAGACUUAUUUAUUAUGCUUUGGCGGUUCUAAAUUUUCUUAAAGCUAGCAGCGCCACAGCUUUUAACUAAAAGAAGUGAAGUUCUAAAAUUUGCAUUAGGGCGCUUUGUUACCCCUCAACAGCUCUUAAUUUGGCAAUAUGUCCCCUACAGAUUUUAGUUAAGAACGGAACAGUCCGAUAGUGCCUGUAAAUCAUCUUUCCGAAACUAUAACGACCCCAAUUUAUCGUACAAAAUUUAAACCAUUGAUGCAAUUUGGUGUUAUUAAAUUGUCAAUUAACAAGGGGAAGCCCAAGUAGGAAAAAACUAUCGCCCCUAUACGUAAAAUAAGCUAUAAAUAGCAAAACUUGGAUAGAAAAUUAAUUUAUGAUUUAAUUGUUAUUUAGUUUCUGAAAAUCGAAUUUAAUUGCCGUAUUGUAUUAAUAAAAAACAUGUUGGAUGCUAAGUACAAAAAGUUAGCAUCUUCCAGGCAUAAUCUAAGCUGAAAACGGCAAAUUUAUAUAGAUAUGUAUUUCAAUGCUCUAUUUCUAUCUCACUAUACAUAUAUUUUGUUUCACCUGUUGCUACUCUAUGUCACAAAUGUAAUAACAUUGUCCUUGGGUAUACAAUAUUAGUCUUUAAGAAUGUAUGCUGAAGAAAACCUAAGGACCUGGAAAGGAAUAGGAAACGCUACGGCACAGUUCAAUCAUCAAUGAUAAAUCGUUAGCACCACAAAUUCUACUACCAUAUGAAUGUUCAUAACAAUUUUACAUUCUGAUUAUAUUUCGUGGUGGUCCGCUAUGACAGCGAGCUACUUUGCGAUAACAGCCUACGUAACCGCCAAUAACGCAAGCAAUCGCGUCAUCCUUAAUCCGUGGCUCCUAAGCUAGACUCAUGAGAAUAGGCAUGCGUCAAAAGUAAAGCAGCACUCAAUGAUAACUCGACUAAGAAAAUCAAUUGAAUUCGCAAUACUUCGUGCUCCUGCAGGCAUUGCUAAAUUACACGCAACAUCACAAACAAAAGCUAUAUGUAACCUAUCGUACUAUAUAUGCUACAGUAUUGCAUAAUAUUGUGUCAAGCUACCUAUGAUGGAAAAUAGUUAUUUAAAAAUAUGCAAAGACUGAAACUGUUUAAAAUUAACGGAUAUAGUCAGUUUACAAGUUCAAUAUGAUUUUUGACAGCAUACAUUUUAUCCAAAGCCACACGGGCGUAAUGCAGAAUUUAUCGUUUACGACCUAUCAAAAAGUACAUUGAACUUGUGGACAACUACUUGAUCUAAAAAUAUGUGAACAAAUAAUCGAACUAAAUACAAUAAUUAUAUGGUGAAAGAAAGCCUCAUCUACUAUCGCGCAAUACGAAAAUUACAAUUAUCGUUGUCAUUUCUCAAUAACAGAUGAAAGACCCAUGAUCAUCUGGAGCCUGACAACGAAAUAAUGAACAUGAUGAACAAAAAUGGGAAGUCGCAAGGGAAGGUUGGCAAAAAAAUCUAGAAGAAACUAAACAGAAGAAAGAAAAAAAGGAAAUGCGACAGAGCGAAGAGAUACAGAACACGAUAAAUUGUGAACGCACAGAGAGAAUAACGGCUGUGCAAGAGCCGCCAUGCCAUACAACAUGGUCACGACUUCGGAACCCCGGAAUUGAAUCAAUGGCGCUGUCAUCAAAUUGCCUUCACAAAAUACAGACGGAGAUGCUUCAUCGUUUAUUAUUCAUCUCCGUUUCAUAAUAAAGAUAAGUGGGACAAAGUGGAACGUCGCAACAAGUCUGCUUUCGUAAAGUCGGAAAAACGGCGAAACACAAAGGUAUUAGCCACUUCGAGAAAAGAAUCGGGUAUCCUCGGGACGGGAAUAUACCAAUUCGGAAAAAGCCUAAGAACUGAUAAUUGCUUAAGGGAAUAAGUAGAGACAUACCUGAAUCGCCAUACACAUUGAAUACAGAAGAUACGGUGGGGUGUUCGUCGUUAAAAACGAAACUCCAAAACGACAGCAAUCACAGAUUACUCACAAACGCCCGCACGCCAGAAGAGCCUGUGGACAACUGACGAAGAUGGCCGCACAUGACGCGCCGAUUGUAACAUCACAUACUAUUGGUCAACUAACCAAUGUACAACCGCGAAAUUUAAAUGUAAAUUGUAACACAAGUUUGCGAGAAGAGGUACUACCCAAUCAAAUGUAUUUUGUAUUCGAAUGGAAAGGGUCUGUCUGAUUUAAAUAUAUAAUUACAACACAGAGCGAAUACCAA